rnacentral:rRNA from 1 species
UACAGAGGUCUCAAGCGUUGUUCGGAUUCAUUGGGCGUAAAGGGUGCGUAGGCGGCGCGGUAAGUCGGGUGUGAAAUCUCGGAGCUUAACUCCGAAACUGCAUUCGAUACUGCCGUGCUUGAGGACUGGAGAGGAGACUGGAAUUUACGGUGUAGCGGUGAAAUGCGUAGAUAUCGGGAGGAACACCUGUGGCGAAAGCGGCGCACUGGACCAUAACUGACGCUGAGGCGCGAAAGCGUGGGGAGCAAACAGG